rnacentral:rRNA from 1 species
GGGGAGGCAGCAGUGGGGAAUAUUGGGCAAUGGGCGCAAGCCUGACCCAGCGACGCCGCGUGAGGGAUGAAGGCCUUCGGAUUGUAAACCUCUUUCAGCAGGGACGAAGCGAAAGUGACGGUACCUGCAGAAGAAGCACCGGCUAACUAUGUGCCAGCAGCCGCGG